CAUCAGCGAUCUGGGGACAGAUGAAGUGGACGUGUGCGUCGAUGGCGCCGGCCGUGAGAAUACGCCCGUUCCCCGCGAUGAUCUCGGUCUCGGGGCCGAUGACCAGGCCAGGGUGGACGCCGUCCAUGGUGUCGGGGUUACCGGCUUUGCCGACGGCGGUGAUCCGGCCGUCACGGAUGCCGACGUCGGCCUUGACGACACCCCAGUGGUCGACGACGACGGCACCGGUGAUCACGGUGUCCGGGGUUCCCUCCGCCCGGGUGGCCCGGGACUGACCCAUGGACUCACGAAUG
rfam:Streptomyces pluripotens strain MTSC 137 chromosome, complete genome.